AUACGUUCCCCGGGUCUUGUACUCACCGCCCGUCACACCAUGGGGAGUUGAUUUCACUCGAAGCCGGAAUACUAAAUUAGUUACCGUCCACAGUGGAAUCAGCGACUGGGGUGAAGUCGUAACAAGGUAACCGUAGGAGAACCUGCGGUUGGAUCACCUCCUUUCUA
rnacentral:rRNA from 1 species